rnacentral:rRNA from 1 species
UACGUAGGGUGCAAGCGUUAAUCGGAAUUACUGGGCGUAAAGGGUGCGCAGGCGGUUUUGUAAGCCAGAUGUGAAAUCCCCGGGCUCAACCUGGGAAUGGCAUUUGGGACUGCAAGGCUAGAGUGUGGCAGAGGAGACUGGAAUUCCUGGUGUAGCAGUGAAAUGCGUAGAUAUCAGGAGGAAUACCGAUGGCGAAGGCAGGUCUCUGGGUUAACACUGACGCUCAUGCACGAAAGCGUGGGGAGCAAACAGG